UACGUAGGGGGCAAGCGUUGUCCGGAAUCAUUGGGCGUAAAGCGCGUGUAGGCGGCUCGGUAAGUCUGCUGUGAAAGUCCAGGGCUCAACCCUGGGAUGCCGGUGGAUACUGUCGAGCUCGAGUCCGGAAGAGGCGAGUGGAAUUCCUGGUGUAGCGGUGAAAUGCGCAGAUAUCAGGAGGAACACCAAUGGCGAAGGCAGCUCGCUGGGACGUGACUGACGCUGAGACGCGAAAGCGUGGGGAGCGAACAGG
rnacentral:rRNA from 1 species